rnacentral:rRNA from 1 species
UACGUAGGGUGCAAGCGUUGUCCGGAAUUAUUGGGCGUAAAGAGCUCGUAGGCGGUUUUGUCGCGUCUGCCGUGAAAGUCCGGGGCUCAACUCCGGAUCUGCGGUGGGUACGGGCAGACUAGAGUGAUGUAGGGGGAGACUGGAAUUCCUGGUGUAGCGGGUGAAAAUGCGCAGAUAUCAGGAGGAACACCGAUGGCGAAGGCAGGUCUCUG